UGCCAGCAGCGCGGUAAUACGGAGGGGGUUAGCGUUGUUCGGAAUUACUGGGCGUAAAGCGCACGUAGGCGGAUUGGAAAGUUGGGGGUGAAAUCCCGGGGCUCAACCUCGGAACUGCCUCCAAAACUAUCAGUCUAGAGUUCGAGAGAGGUGAGUGGAAUUCCGAGUGUAGAGGUGAAAUUCGUAGAUAUUCGGAAGAACACCAGUGGCGAAGGCGGCUCACUGGCUCGAUACUGACGCUGAGGUGCGAAAGUGUGGGUAGCGAACAGGAUUAGAUACCCUGUAGUCC
rnacentral:rRNA from 1 species